AGUAAGGAAUAUUGCGCAAUGGGCGAAAGCCUGACGCAGCGACGCCGCGUGGGGGAUGAAGGUCUUCGGAUUGUAAACCCCUUUCGGCAGGGAAGAUGGAGCGGGUAACCGCUCGGACGGUACCUGCAGAAGCAGCCACGGCUAACUUCGUGCCAGCAGCCGCGGUAAUACGAAGGUGGCAAGCGUUGUUCGGAUUUACUGGGCGUACAGGGAGCGUAGGCGGUUGGGUAAGCCCUCCGUGAAAUCUCCGGGCCUAACCCGGAAAGUGCGGGGGGGACUGCUUAGCUAGAGGAUGGGAGA
rnacentral:rRNA from 1 species